CCAGACUCCUACGGGAGGCAGCAGUGAGGAAUAUUGGUCAAUGGGCGCGAGCCUGAACCAGCCAAGUCGCGUGAGGGAAGACGGUCCUAUGGAUUGUAAACCUCUUUUGUCGGGGAGCAAAAGACGCCACGCGUGGCGUUCCGAGAGUACCCGAAGAAAAAGCAUCGGCUAACUCCGUGCCAGCAGCCGCGGUAAUACGGAGGAUGCGAGCGUUAUCCGGAUUUAUUGGGUUUAAAGGGUGCGCAGGCGGAAGAUCAAGUCAGCGGUAAAAUUGAGGGGCUCAACCUCUUCGAGCCGUUGAAACUGGUUUUCUUGAGUGAGUGAGAAGUAUGCGGAAUGCGUGGUGUAGCGGUGAAAUGCAUAGAGAUCAUACAGAACACCGAUUGCGAAGGCAGCUUACCAAUCUAUAUCUGACGUUGAGGCACGAAAGCGUGGGGAGCAAACAGGAUUAGAUACCCUAGUA
rnacentral:rRNA from 1 species